rnacentral:rRNA from 1 species
UGGGGAAUAUUGCACAAUGGGCGCAAGCCUGAUGCAGCCAUGCCGCGUGUGUGAAGAAGGCCUUAGGGUUGUAAAGCACUUUCAGCGAGGAGGAAGGCGCUGUAGUUAAUAGCUGCAGCGAUUGACGUUACUCGCAGAAGAAGCACCGGCUAACUCCGUGCCAGCAGCCGCGGUAAUACGGAGGGUGCAAGCGUUAAUCGGAAUUACUGGGCGUAAAGCGCACGCAGGCGGUUUGUUAAGUCAGAUGUGAAAUCCCCGAGCUUAACUUGGGAACUGCAUUUGAAACUGGCAAGCUAGAGUCUUGUAGAGGGGGGUAGAAUUCCAGGUGUAGCGGUGAAAUGCGUAGAGAUCUGGAGGAAUACCGGUGGCGAAGGCGGCCCCCUGGACAAAGACUGACGCUCAGGUGCGAAAGCGUGGGGAGCAAACAGG